UACGUAGGGUGCAAGCGUUGUCCGGAAUUAUUGGGCGUAAAGAGCUCGUAGGCGGUUUGUCGCGUCUGCUGUGAAAAUCCAGGGCUUAACCCUGGACCUGCAGUGGGUACGGGCAGACUGGAGUGCGGUAGGGGAGAUCGGAAUUCCUGGUGUAGCGGUGAAAUGCGCAGAUAUCGGGAGGAACACCGGUGGCGAAGGCGGUUCUCUGGGCCUUACCUGACGCUGAGGAGCGAAAGCGUGGGGGAGCGAACAGG
rnacentral:rRNA from 1 species